rnacentral:rRNA from 1 species
GACGAACCGUGCGCACGUUGUUCGGAAUCACUGGGCUUAAAGGGCGCGUAGGCGGGCUGUCAAGUCUGGGGUGAAAUGCCGCGGCUCAACCGUGGAACUGCCUUAGAUACUGACGGCCUCGAGGAAGGUAGGGGCAUGCGGAACUGUAGGUGGAGCGGUGAAAUGCGUUGAUAUCUACAGGAACUCCGGUGGCGAAAGCGGCGUGCUGGACCUUUUCUGACGCUGAGGCGCGAAAGCUAGGGGAGCAAACGGG